UUCCUUCAGCCACGCUUGGGGUCUCUGUAACGCUCCGUUUUAUGCUCGUUAAUGGCUCAAGUGCUGUGGUUCGGGGGGAAGCUGUUCCUCCCUUCCACGAGUUGUUCUCUCCUCUGUUUUCUCUGUGCACGCAGCCCUGUGAGCAGCCUGGGAAGCGGCUCGCUGCAGGUCGGAGCCUCCGAAGCGUAGAUCCUGUGUGAGGCUUCUCUGAAGGCUGUCACAUCAGUUCUGCCGGCAGCAGCGUGCCAGAGAGCAGGCAGCACGAAGCGAGGGUGUGGGAAGGGGCCGAUGUCUCCAGGAGCAGCCCCGGGGAGCUGAGGGGAGGCAGAAGCCGCCUGGAAAAGAUUUGGGGACGUGAGGGGAAGCUGCCCAGAGAAGGAGGAAGCUCUGCUGCGAAACAAGAUCCUGCCCUGGCACGCGUGGAGGUGCCGAGCUUGCGUCCCUCGUGCCGCCUGUGGGUUUGCGUGGGUCCUGCAGCUGCCGUGCUGUGUGCGUUCUUUUGUAAAACUUAUUUUUUCGUUUUUUUUUUUCCUUUUUUUUUUCUUGGAAUAAAACAUUUCAGUUAUUUUUGUAUACACCAAACUCCCCUUGUUGGCUUCUCCUGCUCUUCUGCCCCGCUGCGGAGGGAACGCGCCAACAGGUCCCCAGCGCCCCCACACCGCCUCCUGUGGGGUCGGGGACCCCUGGCUGCCCCCGGGGGGGCUGCAAAAACCAAGUGGGGGGCUCCCCUGGGGCUGGGGGCGCAGGGACCUGGCCCUUUGCUGGGACCGAUGGCCCCAAAAUAAACCAAAUCCCACCAAACCCACCAAAAAUCCCUCUGGAAGAGGCUGGGGCCG
rnacentral:lncRNA from 1 species